rnacentral:rRNA from 1 species
UUCAUUUUGCCGACCUCAGAGCAGGUGAGACCACCCGC